GCGCAGCAGGCGAGAAAACUCCGCGAUGCUCGAAAGAGUGACGGGGGGAUUCCAAGUGCCUACGCUUAGCGUAGGCUGUUCAGAUGCCUAAAAAGCAUCUGGAGUAAGGGCUGGGUAAGACGGGUGCCAUCUGCAGUGGUAAUGAAAAACUUGCUACUGCAAGGCAUAAGCCGCCGCGGUAAUACCCGCAGCCCGAGUGGUAGUCGCUUUUAUUGGGCCUAAAGCGUCCGUAGCCGGUCUGGUAAAUGCCUGGGUAAAUCGUGGGGCCUAACCUCACGAAUUCCGGGUAGACUGCCAGACUUGGGACCGGUUGAGGGAGAGGGUACUCCGAGGGGUAGGGGUGAAAUCCUGUAAUCCUUGGAGGACCACCGGUGGCGAAAGCGCUCUCCUAGGACGGUCCGACGGUGAGGGACGAAAGCCAGGGGAGCGAAAACCGGAUUAGAUACCCCGGUAGU
rnacentral:rRNA from 1 species